rnacentral:misc_RNA from 1 species
UUAUUGAUAAAGAGUGCACUUAAUUGUGGCUCACCAAUUUUAUCUUUAAUUUUUCACCCCAUCAAUAAAAUUUACAAAACUUGUUGACAUGAAGAAGAAAUUCUUCAUUGUUUUCAGGUAUAAGUAGUUUUCAAUCUUGAAAUCUGCAUUAUCCCCCCCAACACUUUUAUUAUAAUACACUAUGAAACUUGAAUGAUCAUAUAUAAAUUAUCAU